GGGGAUGUGGCUCUAUGAUACAGCAUCUGCCUGGCAUGUAUGAGGACCUGGGUUUGAUCCCCAGCACUGCCA
rnacentral:tRNA from 1 species